GCAGUCGUGGGGCAGCGCGGGUAGCAAUACUUGGCGGCGACCGGCAAACGGGUGCGGAACACGUACGCAACCUUCCUUGAAGCGGGGAAUAGCCUCUCGAAAGAGAGAUUAAUACCCCAUAGUAUCGUCAGAUGGCAUCUGAAGACGAUUAAAAGCUCCGGCACUUCGAGAUGGGCGUGCGGCUGAUUAGGUAGUUGGUAGGGUAACGGCCUACCAAGCCGACGAUCAGUAGCUGAUGUGAGAGCAUGAUCAGCCACACGGGCACUGAGACACGGGCCCGACUCCUACGGGAGGCAGCAGUGAGGAAUAUUGGUCAAUGGAGGCAACUCUGAACCAGCCAUGCCGCGUGAAGGAUUAAGGUCCUCUGGAUUGUAAACUUCUUUUAUAGACGAAGAAACCCCAUUAUUCUUAGUGGGUUGACGGUACUCUAUGAAUAAGCACCGGCUAACUCCGUGCCAGCAGCCGCGGUAAUACGGAGGGUGCAAGCGUUAUCCGGAUUCACUGGGUUUAAAGGGAGCGUAGGUGGGUUGGUAAGUCAGCGGUGAAAUCCCCAAGCUUAACUUGGGAACUGCCAUUGAUACUAUCAAUCUUGAAUUCUGUGGAGGUAAGCGGAAUAUGUCAUGUAGCGGUGAAAUGCUUAGAUAUGACAUAGAACACCGAUAGCGAAGGCAGCUUACUACGCAGAUAUUGACACUGAGGCUCGAAAGCGUGGGGAUCAAACAGGAUUAGAUACCCUGGUAGUCCACGCCCUAAACUAUGGAUACUCGACAUCAGCGAUACACUGUUGGUGUCUGAGCGAAAGCAUUAAGUA
rnacentral:rRNA from 1 species